ensembl:antisense Gm3693 predicted gene 3693
GAAGGACAGCUUGAAAGAAAGCAUGGAGCUCAGCCAUAAAGAUCAUCUGCUCUGGCUGUGGACUGUUCCUGGGAGUUGGCCUUCUCUAAGGAGCUUUAGCAGAGCAUUUCAUCAGGAGAUGCUGCAAGAAGACAGGUGCUGCCUGGUAAAGGUGUUUGGGUAUCCAGUUCACCACGAUUACACCAAACCCUCUCCGAGGAAGAAGACAGAGUAUUAUUGUUCAUUACUCUGGACACACUCCUUCCUCUGGGCUUUCUAAUGUGGAAUCUAUUCAUUUCUCGAAUCCUCCACUGUGUGUUUCAAAUAGGAGCGGCCUUUCUAAGCAAUGUCUGACCCAAAGACCAUGCCAUCUUUAAGCUGCAGAUGUGGUCCGGUGACUGGUUAGAGCUGUGUCUCCACUCUGAUAGAGGAAGCAAGUCCGAGAGACAAAGGCUGGCAUGGGAGGAGUGGAAAGACCCCUGGAGAUGGACGAGAUCCAAGCUCUGGUCAUCGCCGCCACUUUUCUCCUCAACCUUUAGCAUGGGGCCACUGAAUCUCUCCUCUCAGAAGUGAAGUCAAAGUUUCAUUUUCUGCCUUUUGCAGCCAAUGAGUCUUCUCAAACAGCACCUGCCACCUUAUUCAAGUCUCUACAGCUAGUAGUGGAUUCAGGAUUCUGCAUUCAAUAAUGGCCUUCAUAAACUAUCUUCUGUUUUCAGCCUGAAAUAUCAUUUGUCAUUAUGGGAUUUAGGGGCGUGGUGACUGAUCACAUGUUACACUUGUCACAGGUGCUAGGAGGGUCCCAUGUUAGCACUGCAGCAUGAAAUGAUAGCUUCCCAUGCAUUCUGACCAUAUACUGAGCCUGAGUUUGUUCCUUUGGCAUUAGGUCAACUAUCCCGCAGACUAUUUCUAACAACUGACUAAUUAAUUGGCUCUCCCCAAGCUUAAUCUGGGAAGACCAGAUGGGAGAGACUGCAGCGUGCUUAUCAGCAAUCGUCUAUACUUGGUCAUGUGAUUGAUUUCCUAUUUGCAUGGUGCAUAGAGCAUUGGGUAUAAAAGAUGAAAUAAUGUAUUUGGACACUGAUAAACCAGCUAGGUUGCCUUAGGAAAACAAUAUUACUCGUUUGGGUCCUGCUUUUUCCAUUUGCUGGCUGGAGACAUCCCAUAGUAUCUGCCUUCUACAGAGAGGAUGGGAUUGGGGAAGAUAAGCCCAGCAGCACUUUGUCCUUAGCUAUGCUUUCUCAGAGAGUCAUGUCAGGCUCAUCCCUAAACAAACAGGCUGCUGUAGAACUGACAGGUUUGCUCUGAUAAAUACAUGGCCCAAGGCAGGGUCACUCUUGCAAGAGCUGCCCUGAUGUACUUGAUGAAGGAGCUGAGGUGAGCCUCCCUAACUCUGAUAAGCUCAUUUGUCAGCUGCCCCUGCUUUGAAAGCCUCUUGGCUCAGGAUUUGGUGAUGAAAAUGGCUCUUGAGUCUUUUGCCACCCCCCCCCUCUGUCCUUAUGACGCACACACUAGUAUGUGUCCUAACUAAUGCCCUGGCUGGAAUCUAAGUGCAACCUGACAGAUUGUUCCUUGCUAGGCCCCCUGCCAGCAUGCUGCUGGAGAGUACAGCUCUCCUGUAUAAAGCCCAGUAAGGAUGGCUGAUGGGUCGGCAUGGGCCACUUGUUCAGGGGGCCCAUCUAGUUCUGAAUCUGCCUCUGUCCUUGCCCUUGCCAUACUUUUUUUUUUUUUUUCCAGAAGCUCCUUUCCAGGGACUCUCCUCCAGUAGAAGGCCAUGGUAGAAAGAUGGUGGUUCUGGAGACACGGGUUCAAAUCUCUGUCCUGCUGUCACGUGUCUGUGGAAACUAACAUUUGGGAAUAAUAAGGCUCGUAUUGCACUGAAGCCAUAACCAACAGUCAGCUAACAUCCACAUAUAGCGGUGCUAAGGAAAUGAUGUUUUCCUUUCUCAUUUCUCAGUCAUAAGACAGAAAGCAUCCCCGUCAAUGAGAUAUCUUAUAUUUUAGGAAGAAAAUGGCAUGUACAAUUGAGUCCAAAAAGGAAUGUUUCCAAAGGGCACCGUGGGAAACAAUGUAUUUCCCUUUAUCUACAACAUGCUGAGAGUCAGAUUUAGGGUUCUGCAUUUCUUCAGCAACAAGAAAGGAUGCAACAUGAACUAAAUGGCUGCCCGGCAAGGAGGCAUACAGAGAGGGUGGGGCUCGGUUGAAGACAGAUUGUGUUCUUUGGUGCUGGUGGAAAGGGUAGACCUGCUCAGCAAAGCCCCAGGGGCUGGCAGUCUAUGAUAGUGACAAGAGUCAUUCUCAUCUGCGGAGCUGGCUUACAUUUUCAAAGCACUUUCUCUUCUUUUAUCUUUGUCCCCCUUACAACGUCCAUGUGAGACGGGUGUUAUCGCUCCCAUCUGAUGGAAAGGAAAUGAAGCCAGUGCAGGAGUAUUGUAAGUGACAAGACAGGCUCUCAGGAGUCGGACAUAAAGCAGCAUUCUCCCUCUUAGCUCAGUGAGGUGACCUUGAACUAACUGAUUGUACUGUGGGUCUCAGUUUGCUUGUUUGUAAUCUGUUCUCAAAGCACCCAUCCUUCAUCACAGGGUAUGGAGAAGAUACACUCUAGAGACCUAAAUUCAAACCUCACUGCACCCCAUACUAGUUCCAUGCGGGAUUAGCAAACAAGUCCUCAACUGCUCCUAGGACCCAGCAUGCUUACUCCAGAGCUUGGAACUUCAGGAAGUUCACUUUGGGUAUCCUUGUCCUCAGGACAUUUUCUGGAGAUUGUUCUAUGGUCCCUAGAUGCCCUGAAAGGUCUCUGGAUAAGCUUAUGGCUAAGCUGAGAAGACACACUUCCUAUAGCGAUCAGACACCAUGUUGAGUAGAUUGAGUAUUGACAAUAAAGCUAGAGAUCUGAAUCCC